UUUCUUGUUAGAAAUCUGUGUUUGCCCCAGGUCUUUCUGAGAUAAAUCCUAGGAAGGCAUGAAACACUUCCGUGGGCCCUUGUAGGAAAGAAGAAACAAUGAAGCUACUUCCUGGCCCUAGUGAAAUACUCAGGGUGCUUAACUUUUCUUUAUCUGAGGACCUCGUUUUUCAGAUAAGACGCCUGUAUUUCCUACUGUCUGACUUAAACUAGAUCUGAAAGUGCCAAAUAUUCAAGAAAGGCUAAAGUAUUAAAAUACAAUUUGUUCAACUUGUAAAAUACAGUAACUUCAGAUUCCUAUUUAUAUAGAUCUGUGAGAUUCAGUGUUGCUGGUGAAAAGAAAAUCAUGUACUUGAUAUCAAUAACAGAUGUGGGGGGCAACGUGAGGUUUCAGGUUAAGGAGCAAUGAGGAAGUUUCAUAGCUGUAGUUCUGUGAUCUUGAAUUAGGCUGUGUGUGACUUUUCCACUCAUAGUAUUGAGGCAAGUAACCUGUUUAAGUUAUCACUGAUUUAUGUGCUUACGUGUAGAAUACUUGGGCUAUUGUAGUUACCAUGGCUAAAGUACAAACAGAAGCAUUCUUAAUUAAACUGGUAAGGUGAAGGUAAUGUGGGAAAUAGAGUAGGUGAGAGAAUAUAUUUAUGAAUUUAAGAAAGUUAUUACCAAAGUACAAAAAAAAAAAGAGGUGCUGGCAUCCUUAAUUUUUUAUGCUUCUACUUAAUUUCACUGUGCCAGCUGACCUUCUCAGUAUUUUUUAAUAUACUCUUGGGAUUGUUCUUCUGUAGAAAUAUUUGCUAUUUUGCAUAUAGCAAUGUUUUCAGAGCAGAAGCUCUCUUCAUUCAGUUAGCACUUAACAUAGUGGAAUUUGAAUGUUUAGAUGUUCUUGUAAUAAGGUUAAUAAUGCUAAGGAUUUACUUGUCUUGGAUUUUUUAUUAGCUGCUCCCUAGAAGCUUCAUGGUCUAGCCUAAUUGAAAGGACUGCUUAUUUAUCCCUUCUUCCUCAUAGGGAUAAUUUCAAUAAUUUGAUACCAUGUUAAAGUGAACUGUUGGAAGGAUGAGAACUCGGUUAACAACAGAGGAGCAUCCAUAUAGUCUCUUCCACUUAGUCACUUCUGUUUUCUUAUCUAAUUCCAGUGCAAUUAAACCAGAUGCAGGGACUGAGCGAAAGUAUUACAAAGAUAAUGUUUGUCCAUCUUUUCCCAUACCUCGUGUUCUAAAUUGCUACAAGAUGCAGAGUGCUUCUAUCUUUUCAGUUCAAAUCAUGAAUGUGCUUUUGGAGUAAAACUCCUAGUUAUUACUACUUACUCUCUGGAUUACUUUGUGAAGUAGUCUUUUAAAUGCAUGCAGUCUGUGAGUGCCAAUCCUCAGUAUCAACCAAU
ensembl:lncRNA